rnacentral:rRNA from 1 species
AUUACCGCGGCUGCUGGCACGUAUUUAGCCGGGGCUUCUUCUGCAGGGUACCGUCAUUUUCGUCCCUGCUGAAAGCGGUUUACGACCCGAAGGCCUUCAUCCCGCACGCGGCGUUGCUGCGUCAGGCUUUCGCCCAUUGCGCAAAAUUCCCCACUGCUGCAUCCCGUAGG